GUAUUCUUCCCCUCUCUGGCUUCUGCUUCCCCGCUCCGGCUGCUCGCUCGCUGUUGACUCUGGGACAUCAAUCACCAGGCGAAAAAGCCCGGUGCAAGAGAGCUUCGCGGUUUCGACCGGGUCUCUCCAUUGGCUGUGCGCGGAGAGGAGCGGGGUGAAUGACAGCGCGAGGGAGGGGAGGGGAGGGGGAGAGGAAGGCCAGAAGCCGAGACAGAUGCAGGAGCCAGAGAUAGAGGGACGGAGACCAAGACUCGGAGUAGUUCAUGAAGAGAGAGAAGAGGGGAACAAGGAGAGGCUUAAAAGGAAAAGGGAAAACAGGAAGCGACCAUUCCCAGAGACGGACAGACAGACAAACCCAAGGAGGGUGAAGUCAACUGUCUUCCCGGCCUGUUGGGAGCCCUCCCCUCACUUUGAACUGGGCCAAAGGAGUCCAGCCCACAAGGCGUCUGAGGAAGGGAUGUCUCUGCCCAACUGGAGAAUCUCCCCAAGGGCUCAGCUGGGAAACACCUGUCACUCAACCAGGAGAUUUACUCCAAAUUUCAAGUCCAGCUUUUUAGAAAGUAGAAGACUGUCUACUCCCCAGAUGAGAAAACCAAGGCACUGAAAGCUGGAAAGGGGCAGACCAGACGCAAACACUGCUUUCUUGACUCCACUCACUACAAGCUGCUUCCUUAAGCCUAAACUUGGCUCUUGCCUCACAGGACUAUCUUGCAGGAACCUAGCAACCCACCUUGCCCCAUCCUAAGGCAGAGGAGGCAGAGAUCACAGACAGCAUUCUCUCCAUUACCUACAGACGGAGAAUUAAAGCACAGAGAAGGUGCGAGGGACAAUUGUGGUGAUCAUGACAAGACAGCCCUCGGGAUCUGAAUCCACAUCCACCUUGAUGGGUUGAGAGGACUAGAAACCAGAGAACACCCCCAUCUCUAAUGCCGCAAGAGGCCCCUGAUGCAGGAUCUUGCAGGAAUAAGAAGGCUCCAUGGAACGGGACGAGGCAGGAGCAGAGAGGAGCCAUGAUACGUUAACUCUCCCAGUCACCCCACUGAUCAAAACCUUAAGACUUGAGGAUUCUGGUUCCUUGUGCUAGGGGUCUCCAUCUAUCCCCACUCAAGCACAAGAACCACCUCAAGAUGGGACAGGAGGGGCACACACCAAACCUCCAGGGACUUGGGUCCCUCCAUCGGCUUUGGUCUCAGAUAAGGAAGAAACAUUAUGACUGACAGGGCAGAAUGGGUGGCUGCCCUGAGCAAGGGGGCGGGAGCCCAGGAAAGGAAACCCUUGAACCUUUGCUUGGAAACAGGCUCCUUCUUCCUGCUCCCCCUCCCCAGGGCUGCGUCAUCCUGGAAGCAACCACUUGAAAUGGGUCCUAGGGAGCCUGGGAGAGGGGCUGGCCUAGCUCCAGCCUCCAGCGCCUGGCGCCUCAGACAGGCCCAUGUCCCCAGUCCCCCUCCAGCCUAGCCCCAGCUAGGGUCAGGAGGUGACAGGGAGAGUUUUCCUCUAGGCCCUUCUAAGUCAGGAUCCACUCCCACCCCAACACACACCCAGCAUGGCACCCCUCCAAUUGCUCCAUCCCUGGGGAAGGCGGGGGGCAUGGGCAAGUCAGCACUCUCUCCUUUCCCAAGAGGCCAUGGGGCCUGGGGAGGGGGCAGAGCCUACUCCCUGGGGUUACCUGAGGGCAGAGCACUGGGGAGCCUCCCCGAGUGGGGCCCCCACUCUUCCCUUUGCCCUGGAUGAGUGUUCUCUGACACCAGGUCCCCCGCCCCACCCUCUAAACAAACAGAAGCAUCACCCUCCCCACCCUUCUCAAACCCAGAAGGAUCUGGUGCCCAGGUCACCUCAGCUGGAGAAAUCCAGAAUCCACCUACGGAGAACACUGAGGAACCUUGGUGGAGGCAGGGGUCAGAAGGGACAGUGAGAUUUGAGGGCCUUGGGGGAAAGUUAGCCUAUGCUGAGCUGAGGCUCUGGCUAGGGGCCCAGUAUUGGCUUUGCUAUUUCCUGGCUGUGAGAGCUUGAGUGAGUCUUCCAACCUCUUUGAACCUCAGGUUUUCAUCUGUAAAAUGGGGCUGAUCACGGAACUUGCUUCAUAGGGCUCUUUGCGAACAUUAAAGUAGUAAUGUAUAGAAAACCUUUA